rnacentral:rRNA from 1 species
GCAGUCGAGCGGACAGAAGGGAGCUUGCUCCCGGAUGUUAGCGGCGGACGGGUGAGUAACACGUGGGUAACCUGCCUGUAAGACUGGGAUAACUCCGGGAAACCGGAGCUAAUACCGGAUAGUUCCUUGAACCGCAUGGUUCAAGGAUGAAAGACGGUUUCGGCUGUCACUUACAGAUGGACCCGCGGCGCAUUAGCUAGUUGGUGGGGUAAUGGCUCACCAAGGCGACGAUGCGUAGCCGACCUGAGAGGGUGAUCGGCCACACUGGGACUGAGACACGGCCCAGACUCCUACGGGAGGCAGCAGUAGGGAAUCUUCCGCAAUGGACGAAAGUCUGACGGAGCAACGCCGCGUGAGUGAUGAAGGUUUUCGGAUCGUAAAGCUCUGUUGUUAGGGAAGAACAAGUGCGAGAGUAACUGCUCGCACCUUGACGGUACCUAACCAGAAAGCCACGGCUAACUACGUGCCAGCAGCCGCGGUAAUACGUAGGUGGCAAGCGUUGUCCGGAAUUAUUGGGCGUAAAGGGCUCGCAGGCGGUUUCUUAAGUCUGAUGUGAAAGCCCCCGGCUCAACCGGGGAGGGUCAUUGGAAACUGGGAAACUUGAGUGCAGAAGAGGAGAGUGGAAUUCCACGUGUAGCGGUGAAAUGCGUAGAGAUGUGGAGGAACACCAGUGGCGAAGGCGACUCUCUGGUCUGUAACUGACGCUGAGGAGCGAAAGCGUGGGGAGCGAACAGGAUUAGAUACCCUGGUAGUCCACGCCGUAAACGAUGAGUGCUAAGUGUUAGGGGGUUUCCGCCCCUUAGUGCUGCAGCUAACGCAUUAAGCACUCCGCCUGGGAGUACGGUCGCAAGACUGAAACUCAAAGGAAUUGACGGGGGCCCGCACAAGCGGUGGAGCAUGUGGUUUAAUUC